GGCAGGAGAGCAGUUCCUCCCCUUGUAGGUUCGCUCUAGCAGGCCUGUGCAGCAGGUACCGUGCUUUUUUCUUUACAUCACUUCCGCCGGGGCCAGACGCAGCAACGCAAGCUGCUCUACAGUUCCGCGGCGCAUGCUCAGCAGCCCACGAGACGACUCCUUCUGCAGCCCAGACUAGUCAAAACCUGGCGAGACAUCCAUGCUGCCAGGCUAUCCAAAACGGCACGGAGGCUUCAGGGCGGGCCACUGGGCGUGCGCAGCCGCCGGUACAGACAUGCGCAGAAGGCGCAGAGACGCAAAGCCUCGGCGGGGGAAUUCUGGCGGGCUUUCUGCGCUCCUCCCCGCGGGCCCCUGGGAGCCGAGUCCACUUCUCUGAUUGGUUGGCGGGGUGACAGGCGCAUCACUGAUUGGCGAGCAGCUGGACAGCGGGCUCCGCCUCCCGCAGCUGAAGCUCGCGACGCCUCGAGCGCGCCACGUUUGAUGGAGAAAUAAUUUGAGACACCUGAGGCGGCACGAGCCGCACGAGGAGGAAGACCAGCAGAGCCGAGAAGGAGAAGCUCCCCCCAGGGAACCAGGGGCCCCCACGCCCCACACCGCAGCAGGGGGGCCAAGGCCGGGGAGGAGAAGCUUUCCUCAGGGAACCAGGGGCCCCCACGCCCCACACCGCAGCAGGGGGGCCAAGGCCGGGGAGGAGAAGCUUUCCUCAGGGAACGAGGGGGCUUCACGCCCCACAUUGCAGCAGGGGGGCCAAGGCCGGGGAGAAGAGGCUCUCCUCAGGGAACGAGGGGGCUUCACGCCCCACAUUGCCCCUACUCGGCUGCUGAGGAAGGCCAACCACAAGCCUCUAAGGGGCAGAGAAAUGCUCUGAGGGAAGGCUGUCUCCAAGACGGCAAGGAAGGGCUCCAUGCCCAGCAGUGGCUUUUACCUCAGCAUUUUAGUGAGAAUAAUUAAUAAAUAGUCAUGGAGGAAAAGCUGUCUCUAAGCUUGCUUCUAAUCCUCUGGGGGAAGUGCUCUAUGCCCAGCCUUGGCUUUUACCUCACCAAAAUAAUGAUAAUAAAUCUCUGUUGCUUCAGAAAAAGGAGGAGGAAACCACUCAAGCCAUGCUACUUAGCCAGGAUAGGGCUUUUUAAAAGAAUACUUUGUGGGAGAGUGGUGGGAUUACGGUCUUCAAGACCCCUGCCAAAAGCCAGUUUCUGAAGGGAAGGGAAGUUUCUGAGUGGGGAGUUCAUCUCUCUGCUUGGGCUACGUCUUGCCAAAAGAACUCAAACCCCUUCUGUGGAUGCUGCAGCCGUGCUGACGUGUGCAAAAGCCCUGCCACCUCACUGCCCACAUUUGUAGCAUUUGUCUGCAGAGGGCAACACGCCACAGAUUCUCCCCGUCCGCAGAACACUGGGGCGCCACAGUCUUCUGCAUCACGGUGAAAAUCUGUCCACUCUUAGAGCGUUCUUUCUCUCUGCAUACAAAUGCUAUAAAUAUGGACCGCGUAGGGCAGGACUUCUGAGCGCAACGGCACAGGGGCUGUAGCAGGAAAUUCCCUGAGGCCAGGGGCUGCUGUGCAACUACAGACUGGCCCUUUUAGUCUGAGAAAACUGGGUGCGACCUGAGGCUCCUUUAUUCUCCCAACAGCUGUGUAUGGCAGCAUAAUUCCUAAGAGAGUGGCUGGCUUGAAUGAAACACCCUCCCUGCGCAUUAAAAGGCUUAGGCUUCUAGAUACUCAGAACACUUUUCUGAGGCAGCAUAAUCUCUAAUUUUCAGGCAGGCUUGUAUGGAACAUGCUUCAGGCUUCUUAAUUCUCUCAAGAGAAGAGAGGAUUCUCUUUAUAGUCUCUCAAAUUCUUUUUAAUGAGUUAUAUCUUUUCAUAUUUGUGAAUGGCAUAGAGCUAUCUGGAUGAGGGGUAUAGACACUUAAUGAAAGAAUGAAUAAAUAAAACAGCUGUGGGAGUCAACAUAAUCUCAAAAAUGGGGGCUGGCUUGUAUGCAUGAUAGAAGCACCAGGAUGCUUUAUAACUGCCAACUUUAUAGGGAAGGAUAAUCUCAAAUUUAGAACCUAUCUUUAACUGAAAAUUUUUCAUUUGUGUUCUCUCCCCACAACAUCGCUUGGAGGACAAUUUAGCAAAAAGAAACGGAGUUGGUGCAUGUGUCCCUAUGACCCACAGACCGGAGUGCUGCUCUUGGAGCAUUUGUUCCUCUCCAGAGGCCAACGUGGCAGAUUUCACAAAAGGCGGCAACCACACACAAGCCAAGGAAGGAGGAAAAGAGUCUCAUGGAAGAACCAAGAGGCAGCGACACACAAGCCACAAAGGAAUUAAAAGAGCCGAUGACGAUGCACAAGAUAGCCAAAGCAAGGGCUGUGUUCCCCACCGCCCUGAAUGCUCUGUCAAUCCAGGGUCCAUCAGUAGAAACUUCAGGCUGCUUUGUUCUCUCACCACCUGUGGAAGGCAGCAUGGUCUCUCAUUCUGUGGCUGCCUGGAAUGAAACACGCUUCAUGUAUGUUACAAGCUUCAGGCGUCUUUAUUCUCCCAACAGCCUUGUCAAGCUGGAUAUCCUCUAAGAUGGAGACUGCCUUUAACAGGACACACUUCAUGUGUGCUGCAUGCUCAGCAGCCCUUUGUGCCAUGUUUGGAAAGAAGAAACAGAGUUGGCACACAUUUGCAAUGACCUCCAUGCCGGAGUGGGGAUUUUGGAAUGUUUUUUCCUCCCAAGAGGCCUGUGUGGGAGGCAGGAUCAAAGACGGGCUGGACCAAGUGGGAUUCAAGAAAGAGCACAAGGAAUGAGGAGGACACAGAGGACAAGACAAGCUGACCUGAUCAAUCUUGUGACGAGGAGGCGCAUUGUCCGAGAAUUGAACAGAUUUCAGGAAAGAGCUGAAGGAGCGAGGACAAGACAAGCUGUCUCAAUCUCUUUCGUGAUGAGGCUUCAUCAGAGAACUGAAGAACAUAUACAAAAUAUAAAGAUGUAUACAAAUACUGAGCAUACUUAUUUAUUACAUACCGAUUGUCACAGGAGAAUAGAAAAAUGAAACUCUGAAAAUGUAUUACUCAGGAAAUCUAAGGUGUCAUCCUUCAUAAAUGCCUCAUACUCUAACAUCAUGUGGAUUUGCUCACACUUCAAAUAAAUUAUGUAACUUGUUCUUUCCCAAAGGAUUUCAAAAACAGACCAGUGGAGGCGACAAGAGACAAGCCACGCCAAGCAAAACUGCAUUACCCUUUUAGGGUUUUUUUUCAGAUUGGUCUCAAAACGAGUGGCUGGCUGCUGCAAAUAGAGGCUUCAAGCGAGAGUUGAUUUUGUCCUUGACCCUGUGAGGUAAGUUAGCCUGGAAUAAUAUGUGCUGGCUUCAAGGGUUCAUGCCUAAAAAAUAAGAAUACAUUUGUUUAAAUUGUUUGUAUCCUGUCUAUUCAAGAGCCUUAAACAACCAUCUCUUCAGCCUGGCUUUUAAUGAUAUCUUGUUUUAAUCUUAAUUUUAAUUAGAUUUAAUCUGGUUUAAAUGUUUCUUGAUUUUAAUUGUUUUAUUUUGUGUUUUUUUUAUUUUAAUGUAAACCAGCCUGAGCCAAUGAAUGAAUGAAUGAAUGAAUGAAAUAAUAAAUAUUCAACAAAAUGCUAUUCAGGGCUGCUUGCCCUCUCUUAAAUGAAAACAACAACCACCCCCUACUAAAUGCAAAACAACAACAAAACCCACUAUUAAAUGCAAGCUCCCACACUACUAAAUUAAAAAAAAACACUACUAAAUGCAACAACCCCCCGCAAAGCCCACUACUAAAUGGGAAAAAACCCCACCACUAAAUGCACACACUCCACUAAUAAAUGCAAAAAAAAAAUUCACUACUAAAUGCAAUAAAACAGAAGAUAAAAUAGACAAGAAAAAAGAGCAUUCACAACUAAAAACUGAGUAUUCUAAACAGGAGUUAAAAAAACAACCACCAUUGGCUCUGUUCACCAGCCAUUCUCAUUGAACUCUGUUGGUACAUUACUCGUCAGGUUUUUUCACCCGUCAGGCAUCCUUUUUCACUUGACACAGAUGGGUAGACUAGUGGAUUUUCUGAGCCCUGAUUCUAAACUUGGAUUGGAGAAAAAUGGAAUUUUUUCUUGGUGCAGAUCUCCUGACCUAGCUGCUUUGCGUGAGUAUUUGUUCAGUGAAUCUGAAAAAACUAUUAUUGUGAUGUUUGAAACUAACAUUUAACACAUUUGUUAAAGAUUUGUGGUAAUGUUUUAUUUUGAAACAUGAAUUAUUUGAAAUGAUGAAAGAAUGUUAAUAUGCCUAUAUAUUCUCUUUUUACCCAGCAGGUUGACUUGUAUACAGUGCCACGUGGAUGGUGCAUAAAUCCCUGCCAAGGAGGAUAUUGCAAGAAAUCGGAAAUGUAUAAAAGUGGCUACUGUCAGAGGGGUAUAUAUUAACCUAUGUCUAGAUAUGCUUUUGAUUUUCUUUUCCCCUAGCAAUCAAUCAAUGUAUCUAUAGACCAGAAAAAUUUCCCCUAGCAGACUGAUUUACAUAGACGGCCAUGUGGAUUGUGGGUAAAUCCCUACUUAGGAGGUUAUUUGAAGAAAUCCAAAGUGUAUAAAAGUGGCUGAUAUCAAAGAGAUGUGGCCUUGUGAGGAGGAAUCUCACUGUGAACCACACGCUUCAAGGAAGGGCUUUUUGAACCAGGAUGCAGCCUGCAGCUACGCUUAGGAACAUGGCAGCUGGCAAAAGUGGUGCUGCAACCCCUUCUGUGCUGCUGACACACAAGAGAAAAACCUUCUUUCCAUCCUGGGCCUUUUGCCCAAGAAAUCUCAAGAACCUAGAACUUAUGUGCAAAGCAUUUCUAAAUGGAAGAAGUGAAAACCCCACCAGCUCUUUACUCACUAAAUACUUUUUGUUGCCUCUGUGUAUCUCUUUUUGGACUCCCCUUGAAGCUAAAGAUGUGAAGUGCCAUUUGUACCCUGGGUCUCUCACCAAACAACUCUCAAGCCUGCAAAGUUUCUUGGCAAAGCAAAGCGUCUCUAGUUGGAAGAAGUGACAGCCCCAGAAGUCACCAAUCCUGAUGUUUCACUUUGGGAAACUUGAGUGAAAUGUUAGUUGGCCUUAUUGUCAAAUCUUACUCUUGAUUACUUCUUUUUAGGCAAAUAAGAUAAUAAUUUGCCUUGGUACUGAACUUUUAUCUUGAAUGGCACAAGGAGGGCGAGUAGGAGAUUGGGGCUGAAUAUGAAAAGAAUUUCUAAUUUCAACCCAUUGCUCUAAUUGUUAUUGCUCUCCGGAUAAAGGACACUGCUAAAGGAAGAGUUUAAUAAGGAUAUAAAGGAGUCUAGUAAGGAUUAAAGAACUAAUUCCUAUGCUUUGGCACAUUAUACUCCCCCACCCCACUUUAUAAGCAUGUAAUAUGCUUAGUAAGAUAUCUGGAUGGGAGCGGGAGAGGGGGGGAGAGCCCUGAACGUAAACAUUUAGUAGCUCUUUCAUGCUUUCUUCACAUUUGUAACUGGAUUCACUUACUCCCUAGUUCUGGGAGAGAGGGAACAUUGGUUUUGGUUCUCCUCACUCUUUUGUAGAAUUCUGUUUAACAUUGUCUUAGUUGGUUUAACCUGGUUACUUUUCUCUCUCACCUUUUUGGUGGUGAUUCGGAGGAUGGGGAGGGAAGGAUAGUUCCUGGGUUUAGUUAUGAAUGUAUUUCAAUGCUAACAGUUUCUGCCAAAGAUGAUGUAUUUCGACUCAAGGCCUAUGAUAUAACAUUAGUCCAAUUGGUUAUAGCACUUGCAGUUGUUGACAUGGGUAAUCUGUCCUUUAAAGAUGGGUGAUUUAAAUAUUUUUUCAGUUAAUUGUAAUGGCUUAGUUUCUUAUCAAACAUUCUAAGGUGUUUAAAACAAAGGACAGAUAUAAUUUUUCUUCAAGAAACACGUACUAAAAGAGGAACAACAACAUUGUUUAGUUUAAUUAUCCUCAUCAGGGAUAGCAGCUGGAAGCUCGAAGUCCAAAGGAACUGCCACAUUGUUUUCCCCAAAUUGCUGAUUUACACCCUUGAAAGACUAUAAAGAUUCUUUUGGUCCGUUUGUAUAUAUUGAGGGCACAUUUUUGGAUAAACCCUUGUUACUGUGUUCCAUAUAUGCCCCAAAUACUCUGUCACUGAAAAUCUCUUUUAAAAACUUCAAAGUAUUAAGAUUCAAGAUUGGAUAAAUGGGUGUGGUUUUAACGUAACCAUAAACCCUGCUUUGGAUAGGUCAGCCUCCAAGUAUACUCCCAAUAUUUCUACUUCUAAGUUCCCUAUAGCAUAUCUCUCUAAGGAAGCUAAUUUGGUAGUUCCUUGGCAGUUGUUACACCCAGGGGAAAGGGAUUACACAUUCUUGUCUGCCAGACAUGAAACUUGUUCUAGGAUUGAUUAUGUUCUCAUCUCCAGUUCCCUACAGAAUGAUAUUCAAGAUGCUAUUAGUGAUAACAUUUGGACAGAUCUCAAUUGGAUAAUAUGCUCAUUAAGUUUUGAAAGUUCUAAUAACCCAAUUUCUUGGUUGAAAACUUAUUUAUUAUACAAUAAAGAUAUAUGCAAAACAUUGGAA